rnacentral:rRNA from 1 species
AUUGAACGCUGGCGGAAUGCUUUACACAUGCAAGUCGAACGGCAGCACGGGGCAACCUGGUGGCGAGUGGCGAACGGUGAGUAAUACAUCGGAACGUGCCCAAUCGUGGGGGAUAACGUAGCGAAAGUUACGCUAAUACCGCAUACGAUCUACGGAUGAAAGCGGGGGAUCGCAAGACCUCGCGCGAAUGGAGCGGCCGAUGUCAGAUUAGGUAGUUGGUGGGGUAAAGGCUCACCAAGCCAACGAUCUGUAGCUGGUCUGAGAGGACGACCAGCCACACUGGAACCGAGACACGGUCCAGACUCCUACGGGAGGCAGCAGUGGGGAAUUUUGGACAAUGGGCGCAAGCCUGAUCCAGCCAUUCCGCGUGCAGG